rnacentral:lncRNA from 1 species
GGGGUAGUGCUGUUGAUCCAAUUGAUAAAAUUGGGUUUCUACUUUGUAUUAUUAUUUUUCUGUUCAUAUUGCAACUCUUUUUUUAUCAUGUUCUAUUUGUCUGUAACUUUGAAUCCCAUUAAAUCUGUUACGAAUUCUGUGCAAUACCAGACAUGUGUUUAUGUUUGUCAUAUGCAAGAAGUAAUUUUGUAGAAAGAUUCUUUGUUUCCUUUGCUUCACCA